GGCGGCAGGCCUAACACAUGCAAGUCGAGCGGUAGAGAGAAGCUUGCUUCUCUUGAGAGCGGCGGACGGGUGAGUAAUGCCUAGGAAUCUGCCUGGUAGUGGGGGAUAACGUUCGGAAACGGACGCUAAUACCGCAUACGUCCUACGGGAGAAAGCAGGGGACCUUCGGGCCUUGCGCUAUCAGAUGAGCCUAGGUCGGAUUAGCUAGUUGGUGAGGUAAUGGCUCACCAAGGCGACGAUCCGUAACUGGUCUGAGAGGAUGAUCAGUCACACUGGAACUGAGACACGGUCCAGACUCCUACGGGAGGCAGCAGUGGGGAAUAUUGGACAAUGGGCGAAAGCCUGAUCCAGCCAUGCCGCGUGUGUGAAGAAGGUCUUCGGAUUGUAAAGCACUUUAAGUUGGGAGGAAGGGUUGUAGAUUAAUACUCUGCAAUUUUGACGUUACCGACAGAAUAAGCACCGGCUAACUCUGUGCCAGCAGCCGCGGUAAUACAGAGGGUGCAAGCGUUAAUCGGAAUUACUGGGCGUAAAGCGCGCGUAGGUGGUUUGUUAAGUUGGAUGUGAAAUCCCCGGGCUCAACCUGGGAACUGCAUUCAAAACUGACUGACUAGAGUAUGGUAGAGGGUGGUGGAAUUUCCUGUGUAGCGGUGAAAUGCGUAGAUAUAGGAAGGAACACCAGUGGCGAAGGCGACCACCUGGACUAAUACUGACACUGAGGUGCGAAAGC
rnacentral:rRNA from 1 species